UUCGCCCUUUUCCGGUUGAUCCUGCCGGAAGUUACUGCUAUCGGUGUUCGACUAAGCCAUGCGAGUCAAAUGUUCUUCGUGAACAUGGCGGACUGCUCAGUAACACGUGGAUAACCUGCCCUUAGGUUCGGCAUAACUCCGGGAAACUGGAGAUAAUUCCGAAUAGGUCAAAUAUGCUGGAAUGCUUUUUGGCCAAAAGACCUCGGUUGCCUAAGGAUGGAUCUGCGGUCUAUCAGGUUGUAGUGGGUGUAACGCACCUACUAGCCUACGACGGAUAUGGGUUGUGAGAGCAAGAGCCCAGAGAUGGAUUCUGAGACAUGAAUCCAGGCCCUACGGGGCGCAGCAGGCGCGAAAACUUUACAAUGCGGGAAACCGCGAUAAGGGGACACCGAGUGCCAGCAUUUAUGUUGGCUGUCCACAUGUGUAAACGGCAUGUGUUAGCAAGGGCCGGGCAAGACCGGUGCCAGCCGCCGCGGUAACACCGGCGGCCCGAGUGGUAAUCACUUUUAUUGGGUCUAAAGGGUCCGUAGCCGGUUUGAUCAGUUCUUCGGGAAAUCUGACAGCUCAACUGUUAGGCUUCCGGGGAAUACUGUCAGACUUGGGACCGGGAGAGGUAAGAGGUACUACAGGGGUAGGAGUGAAAUCUUGUAAUCCCUGUGGGACCACCAGUGGCGAAGGCGUCUUACC
rnacentral:rRNA from 1 species